rnacentral:rRNA from 1 species
CCUACGGGAGGCAGCAGUAGGGAAUAUUUCUCAAUGGGCGAAAGCCUGAAGCAGCAACGCCGCGUGGAGGAUGAAGGCCUUCGGGUUGUAAACUCCUUUUGUUAGAGAAGAUAAUGACGGUAUCUAACGAAUAAGCAUCGGCUAACUCCGUGCCAGCAGCCGCGGUAAUACGGAGGCUGCGAGCGUUAUUCGGAGUGACUGGGCGUAAAGCGCGCGUAGGGGGGGUAUCAAGUCAGAUGGUAAAUUCUGUGGCUUAACCGUAAAACUGCAUUUGAAACUGUGAAGCUCGAGUACGGGAGAGGUAGGUGGAAUUCGUGGUGUAGGGGUGAAAUGCGUAGAUAUCAAGAGGAAUACCGAUUGCGAAGGCAGCUUACUAGAACGGUACUGACACUGAUGCGCGAAAGCGUGGGGAGCAAACAGGAUUAGAUACCCCUGUAGUC